GCUUCAUGGAGUCAAACUUUGCCAAGUAAUGAAUGAAAUGGCCUGUUAGCACUGGCCCAUAGAGACGCACUAGAUUUGGUGGGUCAAUUAAUAAAUCAUCAAAUGCCUCUGGCCCUGAAUCCACAUCCAGAUAUAUGUGUGAUGCCUGUUUGCUCCUCAUUAAAGGAUUUCAAGAAGAACAAAAUCCAUUUGGGAAAGGAAUAAGUGGGUCCUACAGAAGCCAUUUUUCCACGGGCCGGGCACUUGUCAGUGGUGGGGCGGCUUUGUGUCGAGUGUUUACAUAGAGAAGUGGUUCCCACGGUGGCCAAGGCUGAGGGCACUGGAGGCGCAGUGCAUGCUCUGGGAACUCAGGGGACGCUGCUGUUGCGCCCCCGACAUCCUAGCACCUUUCUUCCGUGGAUCCGCGGAAUUCGCUUCGGGAAGUAGCUCUUCAGCUUUCAGCUGUUUUUAAGGGGACGUAACCCCACCUGCAGCGCUCUUGAGGCCACGGUGAUUGGGGCAGGGGUGGGCACGUGACUCGCCCAGAACCAAUGAGAAAAGGUUUUUGCGGAGAAUUCUGGGACAAAGAUGCCUGCUUUUUCUCUUUGCAAACCCCGGGUGCUCGUAAGUUAGAGCGGUUUCCCGGGUUGCUACCCUGAGGUCUAAAAAGAGGCCAAACGACUGAGAAAAACGAGCCGUGCUGAUACGGUGUGAGCUCCCGUGAAGCUGCAGCUGAAACUACUCUCAGACUUUUCAGUUUCCUGAGCCAGGCAUUCUGCUGGGUGCUGGGGACACAGCAGUGAAAGAGACAGCCCUGCCCUCACAAGGCCUGCACAGUAAGGUGAGGCCCCUCUGCGUGGAGUCCUAUGCUCGCCCCUGAGUGAAAGGCAUUCUGAAUUUCGAAGUCAGGCCUCCUCCCUGGUCACUGCCAAAGAACUGGGUGAUGAGAUCCAGACCAGUGUCUCGUGAUCCUGCCAUCUGGCUAAGUGGCUACCCUUCCACCCUUGCUGGUCUCCAAAGCAAGUUGCCGUUUUAUUUACCACCUGUGUGAACACAGGGAUGGUUAUAAGCCCCACGUGCAGAAACACCACCUGGGUUUCAAAUCAGGAGUCAGCGAUGCAAGGAGAGAUGAAGAGGAAGAGUCUUUCGUGGCCGGCGGCCGAGGAUGAGAGCAUCAUUCGUGGUUGAGUGGGAGCAGUGGUGGACACUGUCCAGGGCUGGUUGUGUCGUCAGCGUGAGAUACAAGGUCAGGGCGAGAAUGGAAGAUGAGGCCGCUUGCUGUUUCGACAUUGUCAGGCGUGUCUCAAAUGCCCUCGUGUUCUCACGUUACCCCCGCAAGGUCUCCGAGCAACCAAAAGAAAUGGCUCCUGUUUCUCUCCUCUGCUUUUGUCUUCCCAGGGCAGUGAAAAGACCAACAUGUCCUUGGAACAUUUCACGUCACCUGAAAAACAGCCUUUUUUUUUCCUCCCUAAAAAUAUAUUGACUAAAAUAAAUUAAGUACAAAAAAAAAAUGAACACGCUUUCUUGGUACACAUUGCCCCCCAAGAUUAUGAUACUUUAGAUGGAGUCAAAACCCACAUCUCAGGCCUUUAUCUAUGCUAUUUUUCCCCCUUAAAAUUCUUUUUUUUUCUUUUUAAUUUUUUAAUGAAAGUUAAUUAUGGACAACAUUUGGAGAAUUAGCUUUAUAAAGUCAACUAUACCAAACUGAAGCCCUCUGUCGUCAUCUUCAUUACCCCCUUCUCAGAGGCAACCAGUUGUCCCCAAGAAGCUGAGAAUUUUGUUAUUUACUCCCUUACUCAUAGUGCUACUUUUUGAGUGUUCGUUUUAGACACCAUCUAAGGACUUUCCAUCAUGGAAGACGGAUUUUAUCUGUCUUUGCUCUCCCGAA